AUAUCAAUAAGCGGAGGAAAAGAAACCAACAGGGAUUGCCUCAGUAACGGCGAGUGAAGCGGCAAAAGCUCAAAUUUGAAAUCUGACCUUUGGUCCGAGUUGUAAUUUGUAGAGGAUGUUUCGGGCAAGAUCCGGGCUUAAGUUCCUUGGAACAGGACGUCAUAGAGGGUGAGAAUCCCGUACGUGGUCCAGGGUCGCGCCCAUGUGAAACUCCUUCGACGAGUCGAGUUGUUUGGGAAUGCAGCUCAAAAUGGGUGGUAAAUUUCAUCUAAAGCUAAAUAUUGGCCAGAGACCGAUAGCGCACAAGUAGAGUGAUCGAAAGAUGAAAAGCACUUUGAAAAGAGAGUUAAACAGCAUGUGAAAUUGUUGAAAGGGAAGCGCUUGUGACCAGACUUGUUUGUAGGGUUCAGCCGUCGUUCUCGUCGGUGUAUUUCCCUAUCUACAGGCCAGCAUCAGUUCGGACGGAAGGUUAAAGGCCUUGGGAAUGUAGCAUCUUCCGGGAUGUCUUAUAGCCCUCGGUGUAAUGCUUCCUGCCCGGACUGAGGAACGCGCUUCGGCUCGGAUGCUGGCGUAAUGGUUCUAAGCGACCCGUCUUGAAACACGGACCAAGGAGUCUAACAUCUAUGCGAGUAUUUGGGUGUCAAACCCAUAUGCGUAAUGAAAGUGAACGGAGGUGGGAAUCUUCGGAUGCACCAUCGACCGAUCCUGAUGUCUUCGGAUGGAUUUGAGUAAGAGCAUAGCUGUUGGGACCCGAAAGAUGGUGAACUAUGCCUGAAUAGGGUGAAGCCAGAGGAAACUCUGGUGGAGGCUCGCAGCGGUUCUGACGUGCAAAUCGAUCGUCAAAUUUGGGCAUAGGGGCGAAAGACUAAUCGAACUAUCUGGUAGCUGGUUCCUGCCGAAGUUUCCCUCAGGAUAGCAGUAACGUUUUCAGUUUUAUGAGGUAAAGCGAAUGAUUAGAGGCCUUGGGGUUGAAACAACCUUAACCUAUUCUCAAACUUUAAAUAUGUAAGAAGCCCUUGUUGCUUAAUUGAACGUGGGCAUUUGAAUGUAUCGUUACUAGUGGGCCAUUUUUGGUAAGCAGAACUGGCGAUGCGGGAUGAACCGAACGUGAAGUUAAGGUGCCGGAAUAUACGCUCAUCAGACACCACAAAACGUGUUAAUUCAUCUGGACAGCCGGACGGUGGCCAUGGAAGUCGGAAUCCGCUAAGGAACGUGUAACAACGCACCGGCCGAAUGAAUUAGCCGUGAAAAUGGAUGGCGCUCAAGCGUAUUACCUAUACUUCGCCGUUAGGGUAGAAAUGAUGCCCUAACGAGUAGGCAGGCGUGGAGGUCCGUGACGAAGCCUUAGGGGUGACCCUGGGUCGAACGGCCUCUAGUGCAGAUCUUGGUGGCAGUGAGUGGCACCCCAAUCCCUUAUUAUUAUGAAAAUACUAACCGUCAUUUUUAGGUAGCAAAUACUCAAAUGAGAACUUUGAGGACUGAAGUGGGGAAAGGUUCCAUGUGAACAGCAGUUGGACAUGGGUUAGUCGAUCCUAAGCCAUAGGGUAGUUCCGUUUGAAAGCAUGCACUUGUGCAUCCAUGGCGAAAGGGAAGCCGGUUAAUAUUCCGGCACCUGGAUGUGGAUUCUCCACGGCAACGUAACUGAAAGAGGAGACGAUGGCCGGGGCCCUGGGAAGAGUUCUCUUUUCUUCUUAACGACCUAUCCCCCUGAAAUCGGUUUGUCCGGAGCUAGGGUUUAACGGUCGGCAGAG
rnacentral:rRNA from 1 species